rnacentral:rRNA from 1 species
AUUGAACGCUGGCGGCAUGCCUUACACAUGCAAGUCGAACGGCAGCACGGGUGCUUGCACCUGGUGCGAGUGGCGAACGGGUGAGUAAUAUAUCGGAACGUACCUUAUUGUGGGGGAUAACGCAGCGAAAGCUGUGCUAAUACCGCAUAAUCCCUAAGGGGGAAAGCGGGGGACCGUAAGGCCUCGCGCAAUUAGAGCGGCCGAUACCUGAUUAGCUAGUUGGUGAGGUAAAGGCUCACCAAGGCAACGAGCAGUAGCUGGUCUGAGAGGACGAUCAUCCGCACUGGAACUGAGACGCGGCCCAGACUCCAGCGGGGGGCAGCAGUGGGGAAUUUUUGACAAUGGGGGCAACCCUGAUCCAGCAAUGCCGCGUGGGUGAAGAAGGCCUUCGGGUUGUAAAGCUCUUUUGUCAGGGAAGACACAGCAGCUCUAACACAGUUUGCGAAUGACGGUACCUGAAGAAUAAGCACCGGCUAACUACGUGCCAGCAGCCGCCGUAA